rnacentral:lncRNA from 1 species
UUUCUUCUAUUCUUCUCUCUAUACGUUAGUGUUCUAACCAAAAAUCACCGAUGCGAGGUUCUGUCCGAUCGAUUCAGGAACCAUCUAAUAAAUGCCAAAGUGCUAUACUUUGUGAAUUUCGGUAAACGGAAUCCAAAGUGUUAUACUUUGUGAAUUUUGUUAAGGUUCGAAUCUCGUGACUACCGUUAAGGUUUGAUUUGGGUUUUACACAAAUACGUAUUCCAUUCUGUUAAACUAUAUGUUUAACUACCAGAAUACUCCCAACUACACACUUACAAUCAAACAAGCUGUUAAAUCAUCAGAAGAUCCAGAACAAUAAAGUAUACACUUAAUUAUCAGAAGGAAUAGAAUCAAUAAGCUUGUUAAAUCAAUACUACAUGCUUAUGAUGUGAUUACAGUAGAUUGGAAUAAAAGUUGGAUACGGCACCAAAAAGGCUUACAGAAGUGGCUUGAUUUAUCAAUUAAAUAAAAAUUAAGAAAAGUUGUUUUAUGUAAUCAAGUCUAUAUUAAAAGCUACCUUUGUAAAACAUGGAAUUUAUUAUAUCUAUUUAAAUAAAAUCCGGUGUUUCUAAACUCUGAUAUUUUUCCUAACUCACGGUCCUGAUGAAAUUUCCGCCGCAAUGUUUUUCAAAAAUAACCAACGGUACCACGGGCUGCUCGCGGCUCCCGGUUCCAUCAAGGGUGGGGUCGGGGGUCGUGACACUGUCCGUGUGUCAUUUGACUGUAUAAAAGCUCAGGAUUAAUCAGUAAAGUAAUGACUUGAAAGGAAACAAGCUGUUUGACGUUGUUUACAUUGAUUCCGCCUUUGUAAAUGAUGAUGAACUACUCAACUUGACUGUUUAAGGUCACGUAAAAAUCAUAUUUCGAUUGAAUUCUCCUCUUUAUUAUCUAUAGCAAAUUCUUUUUUUCUACAAGUAAAAUUCAAAGAAAAUACCAUUACUAAUAUUGUUAAAACUUUCUUUUUACCAUCUGAAAAUACUACGAAACUGAUAUCUUAGGAGUUAAAAUGUUUUUUAACGUAUUUUUAGAUGUUCCUUUAGGUAAAAAAAAAAAAAAUCAUAUUUGAAAUCAAAUAUUUUUACUUUUUUAAUUGUGAAAAAUCGUUAUUAGAAAAUUUACAGACACUAUCAAUACAGUAUUAUUAAUCAAUAA